rnacentral:rRNA from 1 species
UACAGAGGUCCCAAGCGUUGUUCGGAUUCAUUGGGCGUAAAGGGUGCGUAGGUGGCGGGGUAAGUCAGGUGUGAAAUCUCGAGGCUCAACCUCGAAACUGCACUUGAUACUGCCUUGCUCGAGUACUGGAGAGGAGAUUGGAAUUUACGGUGUAGCAGUGAAAUGCGUAGAUAUCGUAAGGAAGACCAGUGGCGAAGGCGAAUCUCUGGACAGUUACUGACACUGAGGCACGAAGGCCAGGGGAGCAAACAGG